AUGUUACACUUAGGCAGCACAUAUACUAAAAUUGGAAUGACACAGAGAAGAUUAGCAUCGCCCCUGCGCAAGGAUCACACGCAAAUUCGUAAAGCUUACCAGAUGUUA